rnacentral:tRNA from 2 species
GCCAGUAUGGCGGAAUUGGCAGACGCACUGGACUCAAAAUCCAGCGAGGCAACUCGUGCCGGUUCGACCCCGGCUACUGGUA